GGGAAGCUGGCUCAGUGGUAGAGUGCUUGCCUUGCAUGCAUGAGACCCUGGGUUCGAUUCCUCAGCACCACG
rnacentral:tRNA from 1 species